UACAGAGGUCUCGAGCGUUAGGCGGAAUCACUGGGCCUAAAGCGUGUGUAGGCGGAUCGGUAAGUACCUUGUGAAAUCCCACAGCUUAACUGUGGAACUGCUCGGUAUACUGCCAGUCUUGAGCCAGCUAGGGGCUACCGGAACAAAUGGUGGAGCGGUGAAAUGCGUAGAUAUCAUUUGGAACGCCAAUGGUGAAAACAGGUAGCUGGGGCUGUGCUGACGCUGAGACACGAAAGCCAGGGGAGCAAACGGG
rnacentral:rRNA from 1 species